AACGAACGUUAGCGGCGCGCCUAACACAUGCAAGUCGCACGAGAAAGGGCUUCGGCCCCGGUACAGUGGCGCACGGGUGAGUAACACGUAGAUCAUCUCCCCUCGAGUGGUGGAUAACUCUCCGAAAGGAGAGCUAAUACAGCAUAAGACCACGGCUUCGUUGAAGCUGCGGCCAAAGCAGGCCUCUACACGUAAGCUUGCGCUUGAGGAUGAGUCUGCGGCCCAUCAGCUAGUUGGUAGGGUAAUGGCCUACCAAGGCUAAGACGGGUA
rnacentral:rRNA from 1 species